rnacentral:rRNA from 1 species
GUGUCAGCAGCCGCGGUAAAACGUAGGAGGCAAGCGUUAUCCGGAGUUACUGGGCGUAAAGCGUGCGUAGGCGGAUGGGUAAGUGCGUGGUGAAAGCGCCCGGCUAAACCGGGCGAGGACCAUGCAGACUGCUCGUCUAGAGGCGGAUAGAGGGGUGCGGAAUUCCGGGUGUAGCGGUGAAAUGUGUAGAGAUCCGGAGGAACACCAGUGGUGCAAACGGCGCCCUGGGUCCGAACUGACGCUGAGGCACGAAAGCGUGGGGAGCGAACGGGAUUAGAAACCCGAGUAGUCC